rnacentral:rRNA from 1 species
UACGUAGGGGGCAAGCGUUGUCCGGAAUUAUUGGGCGUAAAGAGCUCGUAGGCGGCCUGCUAAGUCGGACGUGAAAUCCCUCGGCUCAACCGGGAACUGCGUCCGAUACUGGCGGGCUUGAAUCCGGGAGAGGAAUGCGGAAUUCCAGGUGUAGCGGUGAAAUGCGUAGAUAUCAGGAGGAACACCGGUGGCGAAGGCGGUUCUCUGGGCAUGUCCUGACGCUGAGGAGCGAAAGUGUGGGAGCGAACAGG